rnacentral:lncRNA from 1 species
AGAGACAUAACUUUAUUGCAGUUUUACCUGUUUAGUGGAAAUAAAUACAUUUUGUAAACUUUGGAAAAGUGCAUCUCUGAAAAAACUUAAUCAUCAUUAUCUUCAUCUAUCCAAAACACAUAAAUACCAAACAUAGGCACGAGCCUUGUAGCAGUUAGUGGUACAGUGCUAAUGGCAAUCAUUCAAAUUCUCUUCAAUCCUCCACAGAGAAGUCUGUCAUCAAGGCACACUGGCCAGAAAGGUUAAGUAAGUUUUGGCAGAACUACAAAGUAUUUACAAUUAAGACCAAUAACUUCAGAGAUGCAGAAGUGUGAGAGGAGAGUUGUCUGUGCCUUCUGCAGCACUGAGGAUUAAGAUUCUGCCCAGCUCCUCACAUAUUUGAUUGCUUGAUUUAUUUCCUGGGAGCCCUUCAUUUCAGAUGGCAUUCUACUUCUUUAUCUUUUUUGUGCACAUUUUAACUUGUUUACUGAUUUACUAAGCAACUUUAUAUUAGCUCCCACCCAAAGGACUGCUGAAACUGCUCUAAGUAUUUACUUUCAAUCAGACAGCUUUUCUCUUCCAUUUGUUUUCUUGACAUUAUCGGUGCCUUCAUAUGAAAGAAGAAGCUCCAGCAGGGCACCUCUAUCACAGUGGCUACACAUUUUAAUCAGAAGGUAGAGGAAACAAAUCUGAAAAAAUUAAUAUAAAUUGGAUGCUUGAACUUUAUAACAUGACUCUCUCACAGCUUUAUGUCACAGGCAUGAUAGCUACUGCAAUAGGAAAAGUUCUGCUCAGUGAAUAAUUGGAGAAUACACUUCUGAUGUUUUUUCAGAGACAAUUUACAGAAUACAGCUGCCUCCACUCAGAUCAAAGUCCCUGUUAAAAUGGCCAGAUUUCUCUUUCCUGAUAGGAUCUGCUCUUCAGCUUCUACACUGAGGGGUCCUCUGAUCUCCCUCUGACACUGACAGCAGAGGUCCACAUUGGAACAUGGUCUUUCAGUAAAAAAUCAAAGUAUGCCAAUAGCUACACAUGAAUAUAUAACCUGAUCCUACAGAUCUAAGCCUGGCAGAGUAACCUGCUUAUUUCUUACAAUCACCAGUAAUUUCAAACACAUACAUGCUUAUUUUCACUUUUAACCCAGCUAAAAUAAAUCUGGGUCUCUUUCAGUGGGCCUUGCCAAAGAGAACACAUGUAUGAGGGUUUCAGGAUACUUAGGUUUAUAGGGAAGUUUCAGGGGUAGGGAAAAAUGCUCAGAUUUCCUUUAGUGGAUUCUAUAGGGCUUUCUAAUUUAUAGUUGCUUUUCCCUGGGAAGGACUUUAGAGCAGACCCAGGUUGUCACUGAAGGUCAGUAUGAAAAUCCCUUUAAUUUUGUGAAUUUCCAAGCUCUUUUGUGGUUAAAUUACCAAAGACAAACACUGAACAUGAGAAAAGUACCAAAGAACACCAACAACUUUAAACCAGAUUUCCAUCAUCUCUAGAAACUACUGGGAGUACAGUGAGCUUAACAUAUUGGGUGGUAGACACAGACAGAUAAUUAAAUAAAAGAAACCCUUUCACUCCCACAGAGCCAGAGCAGCACCCACACUGCCUGACUCCAGGCCUGACUGAGCUGUUCCUACUACUUUCAAUUCAAACUAUGAAGAAGCAGACACAAACCUCAGAAGCAGGAAAACCAUGGCUCCUUCUCCCAUGGAAAAAAAGCCCCAAAACUACCCAAUUCCCAUGUUCCUGAAUUUCUGUAGCUGAUUUCUUGGUGACAUUUUUCAUCUUGACAGCACAUUCAUGAAAUGUGACAAAUUUAGGCAACAGUCUCGCACUGAAAAAUGUUCCUGUGAACUUUUCCCAGUUAAGCUGCAAUGAAUUUGCUUAGCAAAAAACAAAAGGUUUUCCCUCAGCUUAGCUUCCAGUUACUUUGAUACAUGACGCUUCAAGUAGUUUUAAAAAAUGGACCCGGCAUGGGUUUUGUAUUAGUUUUUGAAGCUCAGAUCAUCGUUCAAGAUGCUGUGACAUUUCUCACUGCUGGGUCUGAGAGAGGACUCUGGGCUUUUGCAGUCCCAAGGCAUCACCACCACCCAUUUCCAGAGUGCAAUUUUCCAAAGCACCCUUUCAGUUUGUGGCAGCAGCUCAGGGUGUGACAUCAGCUGGCUCUGCAGGGGCACCACUGCUGCCUAAUGCAAUCUUUAAUUGUCAGCUGUCACAGCUCUGGCCAGGCUAGCUGGGACCUGGCUGCUGCUUUUCACCCAUCCAAGGAUGAGCCAGGCUGGCCUGGGGAGGUCUCACAUGCCUGAAAUGAAGCCAUGAACCCUGUCACAAAACCAGAAUGGAAGCUCUGACAAGCUGUGAAGGACUGGAGUGAAUGGUGGCCUGGGAGGGUCACAGACAAGAUAGCUGGGCUCAGCAGGUACCUGUGGUAUUUCAUGGAUUAUUAUUCUAAAUGAAAAUACAGGCUGGCACGUUUGUGUGGAAUGCAGAGGACGAGGGUGAGGAACUGCACAUGGGAGGGGUGUUCAGGAGGCUCUCAGCCAGCUGCACUCACAGCCUAACAGCCAAGAGGCUUUUAAUUCUCUUCUGCUUUUACAACCUCUCUCUACCUCAUGAGUGGAAUUUCAACACUAAAACUCUGAAGGUCAUGUUUUGGUGAAUGUUUAGCUUCACAACCAUACUUUCUACACAGCUUUUCCUCAUCCAUGGGGCUUUAACCAAGACAGCAGGACUUGGUACUUUUAUCUCAGAAGUGUACUUGCUGAGAUACAUUCCGACUUGGGUGCGUGACCAGGUUGCCACAUAUUAUAGAAAAAAAUCUGUGUAUUCAUUACUAGAGACUUCUGAGAUCAACAGCAAAACUAAAACUUCAAGAUCCUUUCAAAGCAUAUCCUAAAGCCCCCUGGAUAUUUCUAUUUUAUAUAAGCUGCUCUUAUGCUCUGCCUACAAGGGUCCCACUGUAAAUGUAAAGAGCCUUUGAGGCUGUGCUAGCAGGACUAAAUUGUAAGAUGGUUUUGGCUGGACCAAAAACACAAAACCCCAGAUUUUUCUUGUAGUGGAAUUUGUUCUUACAAUAGAAGCCAGGUAGGAAGAAAUUAAAAAUCAGCUGCCACAGCAAAUGGGUACAAAAAUUGUUUUGGAUGCUAAAUACAAUGAGAAACGGAAACCAAACUGCAGUAGGGUAACACACACAUUUUAUCAUCACCAUGGAAUUAACAUAGCCCACAGCCAGUCAGGAACAGAACAAAAAGCACACAAAGGAGAAUUUUAUACUAACAGUGUUCUCCUAGGGGAUAAAUGUUAUACAAAUACCAGAAAUGCUCAACCUUAUCCUCGAGAAGCAGUGUGUUUCUUGAAAUGGGAUGCUAGCAUGUUCAAAACUAAACUAGUCUCUGUGUUCUUAGGAACACUGCACUGCAAAUGUGACUCUGCUUGAAACUUCCCCUUUGCAGUCUGCUGGGGUAGUUUAACAACAGAUCUAUUAAUUUCAUCUCUCCCCAUGAAACAACUAGUACGCUGAGCUCUAAAUACUGUGCCUGUGGGAACAGUUUGUUUAUUCUUGCUUAGCAUGAGAAAUUCUAUAAGAACAACUUGUGAAUAGAAAAUUUAGAAACUUUAAAAUUAGAAGAUUGGAACCAUUGUUUCAAGAUUGAGCACCAACAAUUCAUUUAGGGGAAAUUCACUUGUGUGAAACUUGUGUUUCUCAGAGCUUCAGGCACAUUGGACAAUUGCUGGCCUUUGAUCUUCAAUAAAAUGCAGUUAGUUCAGCUCUUCCUUCCACAAAUCCUAAAUUUUCAUCCACAAUUCCUAAAACCUUUGAGCACGUAUGACAAAAUGCAAAUCAGGCUAGGAAAUGUUCAUCUGUGAUCAGCACCUAAUGAUUUGAGUGACCUGAAUUUGGAGAAUAUUCAUGGAAGCAUAAUAAUUAGACAUGGAAAAGACCUGAGGCUGUCUUCUAUUACCUAGUUAGUGCAGCACUGAGCCAAGACUGAUUACUUUUGACCAAUCUCAUUUUGCAAAGAACUGUGUGAAGAAUCUUCCACUCCCUCUCUUGAGAGGCUUUCCCAAUAAAGCAGAUCUUGCUUUUAAAAUAUUUGUCUUGAUAACCUGUAUCCACUUUUUGAGCAGGCUACGUCACUUUAAUAUUAGGCACGCAUUGCCUUGCUUUAAAGGAAAGUGUGUUCAGCUUUAUCAAAUAUCCAAGGAUGUUCCAGUGGCUCUUAAGCUUUUGUUUGGUUGCAUUGUUCUCUAUGUGCUCUUCUCUUCAGCACUUCAGAAUCUCAAGGGCAUUCCUCAUAUAUCUCCUGUACAAAUUUAGUCCUCCAGAAAAUGGAUAAGAAAUGAGAAAUUUUACUAGAAGUAGCCUAUGAAAUCCCCACUAGACUGCACAGAUGGCCAGAAAUCAUAAUUGGAAGCACUCAUACAUAUUUCAGAGUGAUACACUGGAAAAAAAAAAA